AAGCAUACCGGAAAGCCAGGGAACUGUGACACACCACAUUCCAGCAGCGUUUGCCCUCUCAUCACGCUCCGUUUGGAUGCGCCACUGGCUCCUCGCCUGGGCAACUGGCAGCUUUCCUGGGAGAGUGUUGAAAUGUCUGCCCUGCAUUCUGGCCAGCGAGGACUGGUCUUCAGGGAUGUUUUGGGGCCUAUUCUUCUAUGUGCGGGAAUCUUAACUGGUUCAUCCACUCCACUGUUAUGGUUUCAGUGACUGUUUUUCUCAAUGUUUUACCACCUGCUGAGGAGGAUUCUUUUUGCAGCUUGUCGAUGAGACGUCCAGGAGGACCAUCCCAGGGCAGUUCAACAGCUCCUCCUGUCCCUUCGCCAUGUAGCCAGCUGAGAAAAAGUCUUCACUGAAAAGAGGUCUCUGCACCAAUUUUCAUUUGUCACAGUGAUAGAAGAGCAAUCACUGAACUUGAUGAAAUUCAGCUACCCUUCAACUGUAGAGAAACCAUCACUCAAAGCUGUCAUCCAAGAGGUAAUUAUGUACUUCUGAAUGGAGAAGACAAAGCGAGAUGAGUCAAUUCCACUUGUGUGAGAGCCAUCUUACAUAUGGAGUGCUUGAAUGACUGCUGCUUACAUCUCUGAGGAAAACUGAGAACUAGCAUGAGUAACAAGUGCUGGAAAGUGAAGUCAACAGUGGUGAGAUUCAUCUCAUCUACUUUAAUAUGUCCAAGAUAGCCAUAAGAGAGCCAUCCAAGAGCUCUAAAGAGCCACCUGGGAGAAAGAGAUGUCUCCAGAGAGUACCUGAAG